CCUACGGGUGGCAGCAGUGGGGGAUAUUGCACAAUGGAGGAAACUCUGAUGCAGCGACGCCGCGUGAGGGAAGACGGUCUUCGGAUUGUAAACCUCUGUCUUUGGGGAAGAAAAUGACGGUACCCACAGAGGAAGCUCCGUCUACCAACGUGCCAGCAGCAGCGGUAAUACGAGGGGAGCGGGCGUUGUCGGGAAGUACUGGGUGUAAAGGGAGGGUAGGAGGGGGUGAAAGUAGCAUGUUAAAUCUACCGGCUAAACUUGUAGCUGCGUUCAAAACUUCUUGUCUUGAGUGAAGUAGGGGCAGGCGGAAUUCCUAGUGUAGCGGUGAAAUGCGUAGAUAUUAGGAGGAACACCAGUGGCGAAGGCGGCUUGCUGGACUUUAACUGACGCUGAGGCACGAAAGCGUGGGGAGCAAACAGGAUUAGAUACCCCAGUAGUC
rnacentral:rRNA from 1 species